rnacentral:rRNA from 1 species
UAAGGAAUCUUCCACAAUGGACGAAAGUCUGAUGGAGCAACACCGCGUGCAGGAUGAAGGCUUUCGGGUCGUAAACUGCUUUUAUAGAGGAAGAUUAUGACGGUACUCUAUGAAUAGGGACCGGCUAACUACGUGCCAGCAGCCGCGGUAAUACGUAGGGUCCAAGCGUUAUCCGGAAUCACUGGGCGUAAAGCGUGCGUAGGUGGAUGUUUAAGUGUAUUGCGAAAUCUUGUGGCUCAACCAUAUAGACUGUAAUGCAUACUGGAUAUCUAGAGGACGGCAGAGGCAAGUGGAAUUUGUAGUGUAGCAGUGAAAUGCGUAGAUAUUACAAGGAACACCAAUGGCGAAGGCAGCUUGCUGGGCCACUCCUGACACUGAGGUACGAAAGCGUGGGGAGCGAAC